UCGACGAGCUCCUUGUUAACCAUAAUUCUCAUUGUAUCUUUGUUAAUAUGACCUAAACGUGCGUGCCAUAUAGCACCUUCUCCGCAAGUUUUUACUUGCAGACACUGAAUGAGAUCUACUUGUAAGGUUACCUUGUAGAAACGAUUCUUUGCUCUUGUUGUCUUGACCAUCAACUGUCCUUCACGAUCAAAUAGUGUCAACAUGUUGUCCUUCAUACUCACUUCACAUCCUACCUCAGUAGCUUGUCCCAAGCUAACAAUGUUACUACGUAGUGCCGUUAUGUAGUAAACAUUCUUCAAUACCUUCUUCUCACCUCUCUUGAUGAUGAACCGAAUUGAGCAUUUACCCAUUAUGUCAAUUCUCGAGUCGUCUCCUGAACGUACCUUUCUAGUGAUUGUA
rnacentral:lncRNA from 1 species